rnacentral:lncRNA from 1 species
CCGUCCGAGGGACGGGGAGGGGUGGUCGAGCGAUCGUCACUUCCGCCGGGCAGCUCACUGCGUCCGGGUCAAUAACUGUUGCUGCUGUCUACAGCUGCAGCUGGGGCUGUGGGCUGGUGUCUCCACUGCCGACCGAGGGGAGCAGGCUCCGCUCGGCGCUGUCUUCUCCGACCUGGCCGUCAGCCCCACGUCGCCGGCCUGGAGGGGCGAAGAGGACGAGGGGGCCGAGGCUUCCUCCGGGGCCAUUGGCUCUCUGGAUUAUCAGGAGUUUGUAGUUGACAUUGAAUCCAGCUUGAGGAUGGAAGGUGUGGAACUGAAAGAAGAAUGGCAAGAUGAAGAUUUUCCAAUGUGAGCAGUGCUUUUUAGUGAAAACAGAUUUAGAUCAAAACUUCAAAAUUUCUUUAUUGGGAUGUCAUUUAAUCAAUAUUGGGCUUCUUUGUAAAAUGUUCUAAAGUGAUCAUUUGAUACUAGGAAAUGAAAAUUCCAGCAGUUAGAAUGAUUCUCUUGUAUCUUACUUUCCAACCAAGUAUGUAUAUAAUCCAUAGCUUUUCAUAUUUGUUUUGAUCAUUUAAAUUUCACAUUUUUUGUUGUACACAGUGUUUUAAUAUGGUAUUUUAAAAAUUAGGGUCUGAGAGGCUUCUACGAGGAUCUUUUGUUGUUGUUGUUGUUGUUGUUGUUGUUGGUACCAGGGAUUAAACUCGAAAGGCAGGCACUGGAACCACUGAGUUAAAUCCCCAGUCCAUCUUUUGUUGUUUUUAAAAAGUUCUAAAUUGUGUGGGGGUUUUUCCAAGAAAAAAAACUCAGUUAAUAAAUAAAGAAGGAUCUUCUCUAUCAUCUGGCCAGCCACCUUAGCAGCUCUACAAAGGUCGCCUUAUAUAUAUAUAUUUUUUUAAUUAAUUUAUUUAUUUAUUUU